CAAAUCAUAGUUUAAUUAGUAGAACUUAUUCUUUGGGAGAGUAGAGUCUGAGUGCGAGUCUCGGUGAUUUGA